GAAAAAGAAAGACGUAAUCCGCACAUCCUCCCGGUCCCAGCAGCCCGCGUCUCUCGGCGGCGCUUGCUCCCCGUCGGCGCACUCGCUUCUCCCCGGUUCCUCGCCGCCGCUCGCUCCACCCCCGUUGUCUCUCGCGCGCAGCCUCGCUUGCCUCCCCCUCGUCGCCCUAGCCGGCCGCGGGUGCGCCCGCGCGCCCCAACCGUUGCUGCGGCCUGCUGGCCGCACGCGCCCGCGUCCUGGUCCCCGCCUCGCCGUCACCGCAGUCGCGCUGCGCCGUUCGCCUCCUUGCCUGAGCCCUCGUGCCGCCCUCCUCUCUCCUGCCCUAAAUCGGUUCUGCGGGUCGCCGAAUACGCAUGUCGUCCACCUCCUGCCUAGCCCCUCUCGCUCCGCGGCUCCCCUGCGGUAGGGUUAGGCUCCCGCCUCCCUCCGCCGCCGCCGAGAGGCCAUCACUCAGAUUUAAGCCUCGCGGGGCUGCUCCCACCAAGGUAAGGUCGAAACGACUCCCUGCUCUCGGGUUCAACCGUUUGACUGCCGCAAUUUCAGCAGCCAAGCCUUGUAUGGGUAUCACAGUGCUCAGUUUUGUAGCUACAACAUUGCUAUCCACAUGGCCAAUCUGAAUGUCAUGCCCAUCAGUUUGCUCUGUUAGUGUCAAAAUGGCAUGCUGCCUGCGACAAUUUGAUUUUUUGUUUUGUUUUCUUUCUUGUGCUCGUGUGCAUUUAGGGAUGGAGCCUGGUUCACAUCUCGUGCUUCAGGCAGGAUCAGGACGUGUCAACAACAUCUGAUGAUGGCACCGGCUUCAAGUGCAAUGAGCAGGCAGAGAUCUCAGGGGAUCCUGAUCUGAAGGAGGAAGACGGUGGAAGCCCCAACACGGAUGCUCAGAGUUAUGUAAAUGGAGACUGGUCUGUUAGAGCGCAGAAGAUAAAGGAAAAUCUACAGGAAACAAUAUUCAGAUUUUGGAAUGGGCGCUGGGCGGUACCUUGGACUGGACAAACAAUUGCCCAGGUCAUGUUUUUGUGGAUUGCGACAUUUUGGCUUGUGGGCUCCUGGAUAGUGCCAUUCUUGGCUCACGCUGCUGGCUUUAGCAAGGAAACAUUGACGCACAGAGGACAAGCAUUAUACAGCCUCGUGACGGACAUAACUGAAGGCCUUGCUGGGAUCGCUAUCCUUCACCAGUGCCUUGGUAGAUUCCGUCCCCUUCCUCCAGGCUGGUUUGAGUUCAAAUUAAAGGGCAGAUGGCAUUGGGAUGUAGCGUUGGGGUGCCUGUUAUUCCCACUGGUGAAUUUGCUUUCUCACAUCAACAUCAGCCUAGUUCAUAUGUCAUCAGGGCCAGUCGCCGGGGUAUCCAGUGUAGAGCAAUCCAUUGUGGCCCGUGACCCGGUGGCAAUGGCCUUGUAUGCAGUGGUAGUCACUGUAUGUGCACCUAUAUGGGAAGAGAUUGUAUUCCGUGGUUUCCUUCUCCCAUCUCUAACACGAUACAUGCCCCUUCCGUGGUCGAUCCUGCUAAGUGCCGCGGCGUUUGCGCUGGCGCACUUCAACGUGCAAAGGGUGUUGCCGUUGAUAUUUCUCGGGGUUGUGAUGGGAGGCGUCUUUGCCAGAUCACGCAACCUAUUGGCAUCGAUGGUGCUUCAUAGCCUUUGGAACGGUUUUGUAUUCCUGGAUUUGAUGAAAUGAGCUAUGAAGCUAUUGUUGUCCAGCUUUCGAUGUCUCCUGUGGAGUUUCCUCCUUCCUUUGUGUUUUCAUUUUGCAUGGAGAGUAUAUAAAGAAACUAACGAAGGGUGGCGGUCAGGUUGUUUUAUGUGGAGAAUAGAUAAACAGAAGACGGCAUUUUGAAGAUUUUUGUGUAGGGGUCAGAUAGCCAUAGGAAUUGUGCCCAGAAGCAUGUUUCUUACUCGUGUAAAUUGUAUACGCGUGGGAAUAAUUGCCUCGUGUAUAUAAUUCCCCAUUCAUAUGUAAUUGUGCAUUUUAUUCUUGAUUAUGUGCCCAGAAAUACAAAUUCCCUGGUAUAUCUUGUCCAGUGACUUGCCU
rnacentral:rRNA from 1 species